GAUGAACGCUGGCGGCGUGCCUAAUACAUGCAAGUCGAGCGAACAGAUGAGGAGCUUGCUCCUCUGACGUUAGCGGCGGACGGGUGAGUAACACGUGGAUAACCUACCUAUAAGACUGGUAUAACUUCGGGAAACCGGAGCUAAUACCGGAUAAUAUAUUGAACCGCAUGGUUCAAUAGUUAAAUACGGUUUUGCUGUCACUUAUAGAUUGAUCCGCGCCGCAUUAGCUAGUUGGUAAGGUAACGGCUUACCAAGGCGACGAUGCGUAGCCGACCUGAGAGGGUGAUCGGGCAAACUGGAACUGAGACACGGACCAGACUACGACGGGAGGCAGCAGUAGGGAAUCUUACGCAAUGGGCGAAAGCCUGACGGAGCAACGCCGAGUGAGUGAUGAAGGUCUUCGGAUCGUAAAACUCUGUUAUUAGGGAAGAACAAAUGUGUAAGUAACUAUGCACGUCUUGACGGUACCUAAUCAGAAAGCCACGGCUAACUACGUG
rnacentral:rRNA from 1 species